rnacentral:rRNA from 2 species
UACGAAGGGGGCUAGCGUUGUUCGGAAUUACUGGGCGUAAAGCGCACGUAGGCGGACAUUUAAGUCAGGGGUGAAAUCCCGGGGCUCAACCCCGGAACUGCCUUUGAUACUGGGUGUCUGGAGUCCGGAAGAGGUGAGUGGAAUUCCGAGUGUAGAGGUGAAAUUCGUAGAUAUUCGGAGGAACACCAGUGGCGAAGGCGGCUCACUGGUCCGGUACUGACGCUGAGGUGCGAAAGCGUGGGGAGCAAACAGG